rnacentral:rRNA from 1 species
AACGAACGCUGGCGGCAGGCCUAAAACAUGCAAGUCGAACGCUGUAGCAAUACAGAGUGGCGCACGGGUGAGUAACACGUGGGAAUGUGCCUUUUGGUACGGAACAACUUUUGGAAACGAAAGCUAAUACCGUAUGGUCCCUUCGGGGUAAAGAUUUAUCGCCAAAAGAGCAGCCCGCGUCUGAUUAGCUAGUUGGUGAGGUAAUGGCCCACCAAGGCGACGAUCAGUAGCUGGUCUGAGAGGACGAACAGCAACACUGGGACUGAGACACGGCCCAGACUCCUACAGGAGGCAGCAGUUAGGAAUAUUGGACAAUGGGCGCAAGCCUGAUCCAGCCAUGCCGCGUGAGUGAUGAAGGCCUUCGGGUUGUAAAGCUCUUUAGCCGAUGAAUAUAAUGACUGUAGUCGGAAAAUAAGCCCCGGCUAACUUCGUGCCAGCAGCCGCCGUAA